UGCCAUGUGUGUACAAUGUACAGUACAGUGUGGACGAACGGGUCUUCUUUUUCAUAUUUUUCUCCCCUUGAGGGCGCUCGUGGAAAUUGAGCACAAGCUUCUUGUUCUGGUUCACGAAGGUACAAUGUACUGUACCUGUACAGUACACGUACAUGUACAUGAACUACUAGCCUACUACAAAGUACAAGAUGACAUGUACCGACCGGGUAAGCACUGAGGGAUUUCCUGUGUAGUAACAUGGUAGACGUGUCGUGUCGAAACAUGUGUCGAAACAUGAUAAUGACUACCGCUGCAGACGUCCUAUGAGUGGUACAUUUCCAAGGGCAUCAUCAAAAGCAGUUGGAUGAAGAAGCAUCUCCAGGAGGUCCCCACCUCACUGUCUUCUUUGACUUGGACUGGGACGAGAGCAUGUGGAAGGAGAGGCAGAUGGAGUGUAUCACCAGGGUUGGAGUUCGCAGGGAAGAUGUGAUAGCAGCCGAGCGAGCAGCAGCCCUGUGCACGGCCUUUGAGCUUUCUGCAAAGUCCCUCUUUGUCCUGCCCUGUGUGGACAAUCUGUUGCAUUACACCAUCAGGCUGGAGAAUGCUUUCUAUGAGAUGACUCAGGGGUACUACCACACUGAGGCUAGGUGGGUCAAAGCUCAUUGGGAGUUCCUCAAUGGAACCACUCAUCAGGUUUGCCCUCUAGAUGCCAUCAGGCAGUUUUGCAAGCAUGUGGGCCUGUUCAAGAACAAGAUGCCAUGAGCUAGCCUUUGACCACUCAGCCUGGUUGUCCAAACAAUCCAGCAUAUUUGGGGAUUUAUUUGAGGAGGCCAUCACGUUGGGCUUGACAGCAAUCCAGACCCAACAUCCCAGUUUCUAAUGCCAGCAGGCUGCCAACCAUAUGCCAUUACCAGGAAGUAGCUCUGUCAAGGCCUCUGCCAUGUACCGCUGCCGCAGGUUACUUGAUUGCAUGACCUAGAAUGACGGUGGCCACUGCUGACUUCCACACUGAUUCCAGAGGAGAGGACAGGGGUCCAGAUGAUCCUGAUUUGAGUUCUUGCAGUUGGGUUGUGGCACUGUGCACAGUAUAUUGUCUACUGGCUGCCAAGAUUCUUCAGCAUCUGCUGACCAGGAACCUGAGCCAGGCUGUUCACCAGAUGCCAUUGAGCAAGCAGACCAAUCCUGGAAGACAAUGUCUAGUUACAGAGCACCCCCAAGGCGUUCCGAGAGAAAAAUCUGGUGCCCCUUGUCGAAUGCAAGUCUCGUUUUACUAGCCUUCGUUUCGCUGCUGAUUAGCUGGUCAUUUCUCUGAGAUCCCUUUGGUGAUGAGGCCAAGCAACGUGUGUUCUCUACUGGCAAGGAGUUUGGGCCCAUGCAGCCCAACUCGUGAAUAUUCAAGACGUGGUGAUCUACAUGUAUACACAAGGUCCAUCUAAUCCAGACCAACUGGGUGUUGGAGAGACCACCAGUGUGCAUCCAUGGCCUGCAUAUGUUCACAUUGAUCUGGAUCAUCAGCCUCCCUGUCUUGUCAACGAGUACUACUGCAUGAAGGUGGCAAUAAUCAACAAUGAAGAAGUAGCCAUUACACUUCCUAUGUAUGUGCAUCAUAGGGUACAUACGGCGAAAAAAACAAAAUCAAUGGAUAAGAGACUAUGCCACUUAAAUUUAUGUCCAAUUUGUGCAGGGGAUGAAGCAUGUAUGUUUGCUUAGCAUGGAGAGACUUUGUCCAGCACAGAUGGGUUACAGCCAAAAUGUUGCAAUGUGCGUUGGUAGUAACUGGUCCCUGGCUGGUUUUCAGUCAGCCAGAAAAUGUGCUUAGCGACAUGUUCUGCUAGCCUUCCCAUGAGAUUGGACCAGGGAGAAGACUGUAAACUGCUGUGAACUGCUGAGUCCAAUUUAUUCUGCUUUGGUUAAGACUAGCAUGUCUGCCUGUGAAAGCCACUAGUCAGCCACAGGGGCUACUUCCCGUAGACUUUGGUGUUAAUGCCACAAGUUCACUGUGGUCAUUAGGAGGGUUGUGUAUUUUGAUGACAUGAUAUUUGUUCAACCAUUUGUGGACAAUUGACAAUAGGUUUUUUCUGUUCAAUUAUUCUCUGAUAUUUCUUUAUGUACAUGUAUAUUGAUACACAUGUAUAUUGGUCAGUUAAGGAAAGAAUGCAAACUUAUCUCGAGGUUUACCCCAAGGCACCUCACCAACCCUGUUAAACCUUGUAAAACUUCCAGGUAAUCCUGUUUAAAAUUGCAUUCUUCCCCAACAUUGCCUGGUGCAUACAGAUGUUCAUAGUAAUGACCACUUGCAUCAUUAGCAUUGUUCUCUUAAGACUGUCACAGGACUCCACGGGAUUGUCACAAGACAACAAGACCUCCAGUCUGAAUUUAAGUCACAAGCUACAAAUGAUGUGCAACAAAAGUAUUCCUUUGUGUUGUCCUUGUUACUUUUGACUCGUGUGACCUGCCUUGUAAUGGUGUCAACUACAAACGGAUCAUUAGCACUCUGUUCACCUGCUUAAAACUCCCAUUUUCAUGAAAUGAAAAACAAAUGAGUCAAUGGCAUAUAGGCAGGUGAAAGGAGAGUGACAAAGUCCUGUAUGCCCCAAGUGUUUUCAGACAGAUUAGUGUCACUUUUUGCAGUAUAAAAUCUCAAAAAUGAAAAAACCCAUGGGAUGGAUUGUCCCAAGUGGAACAAAAGCAGUGAAGACCAAAACUUUCAUCAAUAAAAACCUUUACAAAUCAAAACUUUCUACCCGCCAUGAGUUGAAGUGCUGCCUCAUCAGCAAAGAAAAGACAGGUUAAUUGGAAGUUUCUCUCUUUAAUACGGAAGCAUAUAGAGGCCACAAGUUACUGCAGUGACUUAAGUCGUUGAAUGCCUAUCUCACUGUUAUAUGACCUUGCCGCGGUGUCAAACUGAACUCCCGCCGCAGCGAAUAUUUCAGUAGUUUCAAAAUUCCUGUUAUGUAUCAUCAGGGUGGAAUGCAUUGAGAUUGGGUCUCAGAUCAUUUCAAACAAAAGGAGAUUUGGUAUUUCAAAACAGUUUGAUUUCCAACAAAAAACAAAAGAAAUCUCAUUCGCGGCGUGAAUUUCCAUCUUUGCAAAUUGGGUAGACUAUUCUGCAUUCCCUAGUUGACUGCC
rnacentral:lncRNA from 1 species